UGGAGGGGGAUAACUACUGGAAACGGUAGCUAAUACCGCAUAACGUCGCAAGACCAAAGAGGGGGACCUUCGGGCCUCUUGCCAUCGGAUGUGCCCAGAUGGGAUUAGCUAGUAGGUGGGGUAACGGCUCACCUAGGCGACGAUCCCUAGCUGGUCUGAGAGGAUGACCAGCCACACUGGAACUGAGACACGGUCCAGACUCCUACGGGAGGCAGCAGUGGGGAAUAUUGCACAAUGGGCGCAAGCCUGAUGCAGCCAUGCCGCGUGUAUGAAGAAGGCCUUCGGGUUGUAAAGUACUUUCAGCGGGGAGGAAGGGAGUAAAGUUAAUACCUUUGCUCAUUGACGUUACCCGCAGAAGAAGCACCGGCUAACUCCGUGCCAGCAGCCGCGGUAAUACGGAGGGUGCAAGCGUUAAUCGGAAUUACUGGGCGUAAAGCGCACGCAGGCGGUUUGUUAAGUCAGAUGUGAAAUCCCCGGGCUCAACCUGGGAACUGCAUCUGAUACUGGCAAGCUUGAGUCUCGUAGAGGGGGGUAGAAUUCCAGGUGUAGCGGUGAAAUGCGUAGAGAUCUGGAGGAAUACCGGUGGCGAAGGCGGCCCCCUGGACGAAGACUGACGCUCAGGUGCGAAAGCGUGGGGAGCAAACAGGAUUAGAUAACCUGGUAGUCCACGCCGUAAACGAUGUCGACUUGGAGGUUGUGCCCUUGAGGCGUGGCUUCCGGAGCUAACGCGUUAAGUCGACCGCCUGGGGAGUACGGCCGCAAGGUUAAAACUCAAAUGAAUUGACGGGGGCCCGCACAAGCGGUGGAGCAUGUGGUUUAAUUCGAUGCAACGCGAAGAACCUUACCUGGUCUUGACAUCCACAGAACUUUCCAGAGAUGGAUUGGUGCCUUCGGGAACUGUGAGACAGGUGCUGCAUGGCUGUCGUCAGCUCGUGUUGUGAAAUGUUGGGUUAAGUCCCGCAACGAGCGCAACCCUUAUCCUUUGUUGCCAGCGGUCCGGCCGGGAACUCAAAGGAGACUGCCAGUGAUAAACUGGAGGAAGGUGGGGAUGACGUCAAGUCAUCAUGGCCCUUACGACCAGGGCUACACACGUGCUACAAUGGCGCAUACAAAGAGAAGCGACCUCGCGAGAGCAAGCGGACCUCAUAAAGUGCGUCGUAGUCCGGAUUGGAGUCUGCAACUCGACUCCAUGAAGUCGGAAUCGCUAGUAAUCGUGGAUCAGAAUAACA
rnacentral:rRNA from 1 species